rnacentral:lncRNA from 1 species
GAGAUUGUCAAGAGGAGACUUCAGGUUGAUUCAUGAACUGGCUCUGGACAAUUGAAGACACCUCACACCCUCCCUGUCCUUGGAAUGUCUGUUCCCAUAGCUGGAGUUGCUUUCAAGGACGCAUGUAGCCUUGAGAGAACCAUGUGGUAUUGAGACUACCUGGACAUGACUGAACCCUAUUAAGGCUUCUCAUAAACUUUAAGUUUCCGGGGAGUGGGUAUGAAAUUCUACUCACCUUUUGGCACGGCAAACAAGCUUCAAAUAUAAGCUUCCUUGCAUACUCCAGCUGCUGCCUAAGCAUCUGGAAUGGCAGCCUCUUUCUUUGGUUUAUCCCUAUUCUCUGUUUAUGGGAGGCCAGUUUGUGAACCAACAGUUUACACACAAUUUGAAUUUUAGCAUUCAUUUGAGCUUCUUCUUUGGAAGAAUUUGCUACUUUUAGGAUCUUAAUAAGAUGUGGGCUAAGGCCCUGUUGACUUCCAACUGAACUUUCAGAAAAGAAAGCAAAUAGUAAAAACGUUAUGUAUCAAAAUCUAAAUGAAAUUUUGGAAUUCAUCUAUGUCUAUGUCUGUUUUAUACCAAAUGCGAAUACAUGAAUUACAUAGUCAUGUAUUCAUAUUUGGUAUAAAACUUACAACCAUGGGCAUUUUUAAACCAUGGGAUUGCCCUUUGUAUAUAGAUUUCUGUUACUGAGUCCAAACUCAUACUGCUCACUGCAUGCCAGUCCAGUAAAUAAAGAGAAGAAGUAUUGGAGUGAGGAAUGGUGACUUUAUUUGGAAAGACAGCAGUCCAAGAAAAUGGUGGACUUAUGCCCCAAAGAACCCAUCUUUCUUGAGUUAGAAUUCAGGCUUCUUUUAUCCUAAAAAGGGAGGAGGAGAUGUGGUUAGUUGUUGCAAAUGUCUCUGUGUGGGAAUCUUUUGUUCUAGCAGGUCAAAUCACAAUGUUUCUGUAAACUUCCAGCAAGACAAAACUAUUCUCUAUUAUGCCACUUUUUAUCUCUAAAUGAAUGGAAAUAUGUUACACCUUUAAAGGUCAGAGCCUUGAGAAUGGGCUCUCCUGCAUAUUUCAGGUGAUAGGCAAAAUUCUUGUAGCAAAAACAACAGACUACAGAAGUUACAGUAAAAGAAACAGAUCCAACAUAGAGUCAGAUUUGUUCUUCUCUGUUCCGUUUCCAAUGAAGCACAAAGUUUGUUGGGAAAAAAUAUGCCCUCUGGAUCUUUCAUUUUUAAUAUAACAAUAAUAUUAUACUCAAUAUGCCGGAAGGCAGAACUCUUCCAUCGACUCUUUCGGGUGGCCAGUAACACCUAGUAAUGAGAGUGUGGAAGCCUGGUUUAUUGCCAUGGCCUCAUUGGGACGAAGUAUGAUUCUCCAUAUCCCAGUUCAACGACUUUGGACUCGACCAUAAGUUGCAAAGGCUUUGCAUGUGUUUGCAUGAUCGGGUUUUCCUCUUUGUACUUUGAUGAUCCUCAGGGAGGACAAGAUGCCUCAUGCAGCCACUGCUGCUUCAGCCUGAGUCUCAGUAUGAGAAAUGAGGACCACAUGCUCCUGACAAUUGCUGAUCCACCUACAGUUGAUCCUGCAGUCUGGAGCCUAUAGUCCUACCCGUCUUGGCCCUGGAACAGCCCCUCUGCUGCUGAUGGGUAUGAGAAAAAAUGAUUGUUGCUUCAAGUCUAUGAGUGUUAGGGUGCUUUGUUAUUCAGCAUUGUUGUGUGAAUAGCUGACUAAUACAGAUGACCUCCUGAGAUUUUUUUCUAACUCUAUAAAGACAUAUUGACUAUGAAAAUUUCUCAAGUUAUUCCGUUCCAUAAGUGUAUCCAACAGUACUUUGCAAUGUAAUGUGGAUAUUUAGUGCUUUCAACUAAAUGACUUUUCUCUGCAUUGGAAGAACUGGAUCAGUUAAAUAAAUAGAAGUGUGUUUUGAGGGAAUUCUAGAUAUAAUAGGUAUUAAGUGCUGUCUAGUAUAAAGGUAUAAAGGCUGACUAUAUAUUGUGCACUUGGAAUUUGGGAAUUUGAUACUUAUAGGCAUUCCGAGACAUUGUAGAAAGUGAAUUUUGUGCGAAACUCAAAGUGUUCAGAAGUGCUAUGUUGUUUUAAACAGUUCUUAAGUUUGAGCAAACUUCACUCAUAAGCUUUCUAAUUUUCUAAGUAGAAAAAAAAUUUUCAUAUCACAAAGAAUGCAAGUGUGAGGAGCAGUUAGUUCCAAACUGCCUGCUGCUUUCCAGCUAGGAUUGUGUGCAGUUUAUGUCAAAACACUUCAGCAAAGGAAUACAAAUACAGACUAAUGUUUGACUUCUUUUGUUGUGUUGAACUGGAGCCAGCAAAAGUAUUUAUAUAUAAAUCCACUUGUGAAAUGCAUAACCCUUUCAAUGUGACUUAUAUGUUUAAGGCUUAAAGAGAAUUUGGGUUGAUUGACAGAAGCUACCGCUCUUAUAAUGUCAAAAUGUAUGACUGCUUAUGUGGAAACUUUUAAAUUCACUCUUUUUGCUGAGGGAUGUUUACCUUCUGAUUAAGUGCUACUGCAUUAGCACUGAACACUUACUUGCCCUACUAUGUGUAUUGUAAAGCAUAAGCCUUCAAUAUUCGCACCUUCCUUCUUCUCUUUAAAAACCCAAGGGAAACAAAUCCCCCCAAACCCCAAGUGUAUGCCUAAAAUAUCUACUUAGACAUUGCCUGAGGGAAAAAUAGAUGGCUUUGCUGUUUUAAACACUUGAACAUAAUGUAGGUAUAAAAGAGAGUCCUGUCAUAUGGAGUCAAAUAUUUCCCUCCUCUCUUGAACAGUAAUAUUCUGCAAAACUGUUUUCUUCUUAGUUCUUAGUGAGGAACUAAGACAUGGCUUUUGAAUCUAUGAUUUAGAUGAGCUUCUGUGGAUGAACGAAUAUAAAAAAGCACAGGCACAUCAGAUGUCUGAGACACCAUGGAGGAAUGUCAUGUCUCCAUUUUUCAAAAGCUCCAUCCUCCCAUUUUGUUGAACUUUAGUACCUUGUUUAAAUUUUUAUUGCAUUCCCACAUAGUGUUAUGCAUAAGUAUAUAAGAAAUGCCACAACAGAUUAGGUCAAUGGUCCAUCUUGCCUGCCUCUGAGGGAUGUUUGGUAGGGAGAUAAGGUUGUCUUUCUUGACAUCACUCUGAAAACAUUAGGGAUCCACUGCACACAUUCCUCACACCCCUUUAAUAUUCCAUUAUCGAGCCAGCAUUUGAGAAUUUUCCUAAACCUUUUAAAACUUAUUUAUAGUUUCACCCUUUGUUAUUCUUUUGGGAACAUAAGAUCACUGCAUAAUUUGUAUUAAAAAAAAUGGCCUCCUCCAAGUUUUAAGAGUUGGUUCCUGAGGUCUAGAAUUUUGAAACUGGAUGAAUAAGUUCCUGAUUAGAAAACCCACCUCUUCACAAUUUCAUAGAAUUUAGUUACCUGGUAGGCUGCUCCUAAAGUUUUUCCUAAUGAUCCACAAAUCCUGGUGUCCACACCCUUAUGCCCUUCCCUAUGCCUGAACUUGACCAAGUGACUUGCUCCUAAUGUAUAGAAUAUGCCAUGAGUGAUGACAUAUCAAUUUCAAGAUUAGGUUAUAAAAGUGUGACUUCCAUCUUUCUUGUGGACUCUGUGUCUUUCCGUGUGCUUGCUCUAAAGAAGUAAACUAUCAUGUCGUAAGCUGCUACAUGGGAAGGGGUCCACGUGACAACGACCCGAGGGCAACCUUUGGCCAACAGCUGGCAAGGAACUGAAGACCUCAGUCCAACAGCCCUUGAGAACCAGAUCCUGCCAACAAUAAUGUGGUGGGCUUGGAAGCUGAUUCUUCCCUUGCUGGACCUUCAGGUGAGGCAACAGACCCCAGUGACACCAUGACUGCAGCUUUGUAGGAGACUUGGAAAGGAAGUUGGGGGCCAUUUCAGAAGCAGCUUAUCAAGUAAUUAACCAGAGAUUGUGGAGGCAUUUGUCUCUAUGUUAAUUGUAUCUUUGAGAAUAGUCCUGCUUUAAGAUCCUAAGAGUUUGCCAUAUUGAUCAUUUAUGUGACUUAAAAAUAAUUUAAGGAAUUCCUGUUGUGGUGCAAAGGGUUAAGAUUCCAACUGCAGCAGCUCAGGUUGCUGCGGAGGUGCGAGUUAGAUCCCCUGCCUGGUGCAGUGGGUUAAAGGAUUCAGCAUUGCUGCACCUGUGGUGUAGGUUGCAGCUGUGGCUAGGAUUCAAUCUCUAGCCUGGGAAUUUCCAUAUGCUGCAGGUGCAGCCAUAAAAAAAAAUAAUUUAAGCAUGAUCUUCACAGAUUUUUAUAUGGUAGAGGUAUUACUUAGUUAUUUCUGUGUAACAGACUACUUUAAAGCAAUAACUGUUUUUUUGGUUCCUGAUUCUGUGGGUUGGCAGUUGGCUGGGCUCGUCUGGGUAAUUAUGAUCUCUGCUAGACUCCUUCAUGAUCUGUCAUUGGUUGCAGGUCACCUAGCCAACUUUGCUGACCUUGGAUAGACUUUUUCACAUCUCUGAGGGCUCGACUGGGACUGACCCACAGACUCAAUUGUGUUCCAUGUGAUAUGAUCCAGCAAGCUAUCCCAGCAUACAUGGCAGCAUCAUCAUCCCAAGAAAACAGGCAGAAGCAGGGCCUCUUGGGUCCUAGGCUUAGGACUGACACAUCUGUUACUCCCACCAUGUUCUAUUGGCUAAAGUAAGUCACAAGGCCAGCCCUGAUUCAUGGGGUGGGGGAAAUUCAAAGUCAGCCAAAAAUGGCGAGGACAGUAGGGAGAAUGAAUCAUUGUGGCUAUUUUUGCAGUCAACCCCAGUGGACACGAUUUAACAUAGAGUCUCCUUCCUUGACAACACAGAAUGCUGUUACACUAAGUGGUGACUAAGUGUUACACCACUGAUGCUGAAUUCUGAUCCCAAUGUUGCAGCUCACCAUCUGGGUGACUGUGUUUCAGUUUACUUUCCUAUACAGUGAGACUGGCAAUAGGCCCUACCUCAUAGGGUCAUUAUGAUAAUGUAAUGAAUUACUGCACAUAAUAAUUGGAGGCCUGAAGUGCUCAAAAACUGUUAGCUAUUAUUAACAAAAUUAUGUUGCUUUGAAACUGUUAUUCACUUUCAUAUUUAUUUCUCUGCUAGACCUUAGACCCAUUGAGGGAGGGACCUUCCUGCAUUUAAUCUUUCAUCAGAAUUUAUUGAGCAUCAUGACAUGCCAGAUAGGAGCUGGGGGAUAACUGGCCUCAGUGGGACAGAAGCCUGUAACUAUGUUAUUUUUAGCACCACCUUUUGUUUGUUUUGUUUUGUUUUUUGUUUGUUUUUUGGUUUGUUGGCUGAGCCUGUGUGCAUGUGGAAUUUCCUGGGCCAGGGAUCAAACCCAUGCCACAGCAGGGACCCAAGCCCCUGUAGUGACAAUGCCAAAUCCUUAACCUGCCGUGCCACAAGAGAACUCUAGUACCAUGUGUAUCUGGUAUCUUACUUUCCUAAACUCCUACCUCCACUUUUUUUUUCCAUUUUUUAAAAUAACUUGUUGGUAUUAUUGUUUAAAUCUUUGGAAUGUUUUCAUACAUGUUUGGUGGUCUCUUUUACAUAUAUCCACUGGUUAUCCUGUGUGUGCCUCUUUGUGUUACUCCAGUCCCAUCAGUUAUAGUAGGUUAGUAAGGCUUUGACUUUUGUUACUGUAUUUUCCAGAACUUUUGUUUCUGUAUUUCCAGACUUUUGUUUCUAUAUCUAUUCCCCGUGUUCCUGAGUUUGUGGUAAAUGUUGAAUACUUUUAAAGGGAACUUAUUAUGUUCAUUUAGCCAAACAGUGGCAUCAUUUAUCCAUUCCUUCUGACAAAUGGGAGUAGUGAGUUCCCAGAGCUGUUGGAUGGAUUAUUUCUGUAAUUUUCAGCAGACAGCAGAGCCAUUUGGUACCUAGGUUUUCUCAUUUGCCAGUUGGGAAUAAAACUAAUGACCCUACUUGUCUAUAGGGUUUCAGUGAAAAGCAAAUUAAAGAAUAGAAUCAAACAAAUUGAGAGAAUGACUCAAUAUCUGUAAUGGGAAUGAGAUCACAUUUGAUAAGGAGCAAAAGUAGCUAAACCAGUGGAGGAGAGAAACUGGCAAAGAUGCCCAAAAUUCUAGGGACCAAAAGGAACUUGUAUCAGUCUAAAGAUUUUUGAAAAAAUAGGAAUAACAUUUUACUUAAUAUAAUUGCUCCCUAUCUUUUCCAUCUUUCCCAGCUUUCCCCCUACUUCAUGAAUGUAAAUCAAGGCUGAACACAGAAGCUUCUGUAUGAUGUAAAAUCACUGUUGUAGUUACUGUAAAAUGUUGCAUGUACUUCACUUCUAUAAGUACAAUGUGUUCUGCUUCACUUUUAUUUUACUCUAUUAGGUAUGCAGCCCAUUUGCCAGGGUGAGUUAUCUCCUCUUAGAGUUUGGUUAUAUACCUAGUCUAUUUUGUAAACAGAAUUUCCAUUAAAAAUGAAUUACUUUUCCUUCGAGCUUAUUGAUGGGGCUGACACAUCGCUAAAUUUCUUUUCUGAGCCAAGAUUUGUCACCUUGAUCAAAAGUUGGCAAAAUGCAAUUUGUGAUCACACGAAAGGUACAAGUGGUGUGUGCCCUUCAAAAGGUUUUCUUAGUGGCACACUUGCCCUUGAUUUUUGUCUUUAAAGCAAUUAACCAGCAGGAACAAAGAAAUAGCAGCUCUGCACUCUGACUCCUCAUAUAGUCUUGGCAUUCACCAGAAACACUUUUCUUCAUUUAGGAAGAAGUGUUCCUCUGACAGACAGUCUGGAACAAAGUGUACUCACACACGUACAGUGAGUCAAGAAUUGGAUUGUGAAACACGAGACCCCAAACAGUAAGCUAAAGAUGUAACAUCGAAUGCUUGGCAGAAAGAUUAUGUUGUAAGCCCUCUGAAAUCCAGCCCAUGACACAGUCAGGCAUUGCUGAUAUUAGCAAUCACUCCCCAAUAUUUCCAAAAAAGGAGGGAAGAAGAAAGUACUGGUUUGGUGAGCUUGUAUGUCUGCUUCUUUCAAUUUUAUCAAUCAAAACUUGUGAAAACAUGUUUUGUUCCCCUGCUUAUUAAUACAUGGU